AGAAUAGACAAGCAAGGUAUACCCUUAAUGGAAGAGAGUUAGGGAUAACAACACACGAAAAGGACUUGGGAAUUGUUAUAGACAACAAACUAUGCAACAAUGUGCCAUGUCAAUCUGCAGUGGCCAAGGCCAAUAAGGUAUUGUCAUGCAUGAAAAAGGGCAUUAAUUCUUGGGACGAGGAUAUCAUUUUGCCUCUUUAUAAAUG